AGAUGAACCAGGGCCAACGGAGGAAGGCUGCCUGCUGACAGCUGCCAUUUCCACAGACUCACUGGGCCAAAGUGAUAGCCAACACUGAGAAGAAGAAUCCAGUGUCCAGAUUUUUCAAAGGGCUGCAGAAGUCUUGUUCUGCUGGAUAUAUAUUUUUAAGUUAGAGCUUGUUGAACAACAGAAGAUUAUAGGACCAGCCAGAGACUCAAGGAGAGCCAAUGGGGGUAUUAUGUUUUUGGAUUUAGCUAACCACUGACUGGAGGAACUGAGACAGCAUACAGUGGCAAAGCCUUUGACAAAUGGACAAGGGAAGAUGGUGAUGGCAACUUAUGUUUACCAUGCAGAUGAAACAGAUCAACACUUUGCCCCAGAGAGCACAUGCUCAUACCACUUUAAGGACGAAUACCCUGAGAAGUGGUUAUGUGUGGAGGUAUCCAAAGGCAAGGCCUUAUUAUUGACUGGAGAACCCAGAUCACAAUUCAAAACAAUUCCAGAACAAUUAAAAUUCACAGAGAAAAAUUGCACAUGCAUAGAGGAAAUGAGAAGAUUAUGAUGGCACAUUAGUAACCAUGGACUAUGGCUUAAAUGAGUGGUCCUUAAACAUUGCUUGCUAGUUUCUCCAUGAACAAGAUUUUAGGAAAAACUUCUGCAUCUUUAAGUUGAUAUCUAAAAUUUGAUCUUCAGUUUAUAACGAAUUGCAAAAGGUAUAAUUUCUGGCAAAUUAAAAACAGUGGCGCUUUUAAAAUUAAUCUGUCAAAUUACUCCGUAAAAUCUAUCCAAAGUAAUCCAAACACAACAGCAAGUUGAGGAUCACAGUCAGUCAUUUAAUAAAGAAUGAUUACAUUUUCCAAUUGAAAAUUGCACAUCAUUCUUUACUCCCUCUAAACUCAUAUUUCCAAGUCCAAUUCCAAUUUUAAUUUCCAUAAACUUCCACAGAAUUUUAUCCUAAAAAAAGACAUUUUGUGCAUGAGCGCCUUUAAUGAUCUCUGAAUCAUACUUCAGUGCAACAAAAAUAUGUGUGUAAAUUGAAAGGUAAAUUGUUUUUAAACAUCUAGUAACCAUAAUGCUUUAAGUAUUAAAUUUGUUUUCUGUAUUGUUAUAAUUAUAAAUAUUAUAGGGCUCAAUUUUUUUUUUUAAAAAAGUAAAAUAAUUACUUACACAAGAAGUAAAAUAUUAUUGGUAAUAAUCUCUAAAUUAUAUGAAUGGGGCUGGGGCUUUUCUCUCCUAUACUUCAUACAUCCAAUGAUGAAAACUACACGUUAUCAUUACUAUAAGUUUCAUUAUAUUGAUAAGACAUGGUCAGUACUAAUUCUAUUCCUAGUUUUUGUUUUCUAUACAUUUGAGCUCAAGAAAAAUUUGUUUAUCUAAAUAAAGGAAUUGGAAUGGAAA
rnacentral:lncRNA from 1 species